GACAUGAAAGUUUAUUUAAAAAGAUUUAGAGCAGGAAUUAAAGGAAGUAAAGUACACUUGGAAGAGGGCCAAGCGGGUGACUUGAGAGAUCAAGUGUGUGGUUUGACCUUUGACUUGGGGUUUCAUACACUGGCAUGCUUUGGGGGCUUGCAGCUCUUGUCCUCUGAUUCUUCCCUUGGAGCGGGCUGUCCACAUGCACAGUGGCCUGCCAGCACUUGGGAGGGGCCACAUGCACAGUAUGUUUACUGAAGUGUACAUGCUCACUUGAGGCAUCCUUCCCUUACCAGAUGAGUGUUCCUAGAGGAAGGUCAUAUACUGGGUAAUCUCCACCAUCUGCUUCUUAAUGCGCAUGCUUGAGUCCACUCGCCCAACUCCUAAGAUCUUAUCAGGAAGCUGCUGAUCAUCAGUUUCAGGUGAUUUCUAUCUAUUGGGAGACUGCCUUUCCCUGAUGCUGGCUGCGACUAAUGAUUAUUUUAGAGAGACCAUUUAAUAAGUACCCAACCAUCACCUGAUGGUCAGCUGACAUUCCUGGUGGAGGGGCUCCCUUCUGCCCUGCUUAUGCCUUCCUAACUACCUAUUCUAAUAAAAAGAGUAAAAGGUGGAGAGAAGCAGCAUCAGGGAGGCAGCCACCCUCCACCUCCAGAGGGAAAGUUUGAGUCAGCAGCAGGAAAGAGCCCCUUGGAAGUGGGCUCCAAGGUGGGGUUUACAGAGGCUUGCCUGCCGGGCUGCUCUGGUGAGCACUCUGGAAGCAAAGCUCUGCCAUCAAGUGGAAGAUGCACGCUGAUGGGCAGCCCCAGGAGUGGACAUUCUGCCCCCAUACAGAGUCCAAGGGUGAAAGCUUCACACUUAACUCUCAGACAUUUCCCAGGCAGGUGCUUCCAAGCAUCUCUUUGCCGCAAUAGCAGUGAGAAUUGGAGGGUAGCCUUUCUACAGGGAGCCUGCCACUCUGCUGGUGCAGGGAAGUUUUUGCAGGAGGAAAUGACAUCUUCAAUGAGCUUUGUGGUAGAGAUGCAUCUCCAGAAUGUUCCUAUACAAAGCCUGUGUCCCGAGGCAACCCCAGCUUAAUGCAGCCUUUAGACCCAGGAUCCUCCAGGCUUGGCCUUAGUCUGUUCCUGCUGCCAUAGGAAAAUACCACAGAUGGAGUAAUUCAUAAAUGAUAAAAGUUUAUUUCUUCAUCCAUCUCCAAAAGCUAGGAAGUCUGAAGCCAAGGUGCCGGCAGAUUCAGUGCUCUCUCUGCUUCCUUGUUGCUGUGUUCUCCAGAGAGGAUGAAUGCUGUGUCCUCACUUGGCGGAAGGGACAGGAUGACCAGCCAGCUCUCUGAAGCCUCUUUAUAAAGGCAUUAAUCCCAUUCACAAGGAUGGAGCCCUCAUGCCUAAUCAUCUCCCACCAUCACUUUGGGAUUUAAGUUCCAACGUGAAUUUUGGAUGGAUGCAUACAUUAAAAUCUUAGCAGCCACCAAUCCACCAUCCUGGAGGCUCCAAGAGCUUCUCAUGUGAUUCACUGAUGACUGCUGUGCACCUGCCAAAUUCAGGAUCUGCUCAUCUGUAGCUGCACAGCCCAGGGAGGAAGGGAUGAUCUAUUCCUCUCUGCCCCCUUCCUAAUUCCUUGGCUGUCCAUUAGGGCCUUAAUGACUAAGUAUGGGGCUGGAGCUUUGGAAAGAUUGAGUCUGCCAAACCCCUUUGCAUCAGUUAGGCUUCUGGACUAUGCGUGACAGAAAGCAACUUUAGUCUCUUUAUAUAAAUGAAGAUAUAACAGGCAGGAGCUGUUCUACCACAAAACAGGAUGCCAUGGCCCCUACAACCUGCACCAUUGCUAUGAUGAAUGACCAUUUGCAUUUUUGCUUUUAGCAUUUCCUCAGCAUUCAAAGUCUGUGGGGAAGACACCUCUCCCAACUGUCCUGGGAUGGGUUUGGCUCCCUUCAUCUCUGCAGUAAAAGUGAACAUCGAAAAUUAUUUUGCACUAAGAUUACCCACAGUGGGGAGGGAAAGGAGGUAAUUCCUCAGUGGGAAAGUGGCAGGCUAUUAGGGAAAGGGAUGGAUGCCAGGUAACCAGAGAUGAUGGGGGGCCACUACCUAGCUGGCCCCAGCCUCCACCUUGCAAAAGGCAACCAAAAGAAGCACACAGUGAAAGGUGUCUAAACUCUCCAGUUUCAUCUUGUUUGCCUUUUUUUCUUUUAUUGUCUUUUGACUGUAAUAGAGGCAGCAUCACAUCGAAAAAUCCCCCUGGAUUAGUAGGUACCACCAGCCCUGCAUCUCCCAGCCUGGUGCCUUCUUCUGUGAAAUGGGGUGAGUCCUGACAACUCCACAGAGUUGCUGAGAGGCUGAAUGAGGAAACAGGUGUGGACAUUCUUGAAGAGCAAAGCACGUCCUGCAAUUGAGAGAUAUGAAGCUUGCUCUGAAUGGGCCAGCUGUGCCUGUUCACCAGCUUUUCAUUUCCUCCCACCCUCACCGCCUUUUCAUUUGCUUUGACUCUGAUUUAUUUGUUAGUUUCACCCUGCUUUAUUCCACAGAGGGUUUGGCUUUCAGGUGGCAGGAUUUCCUCGUUAGUUCCCUGGCAGGACUGUUUGUGCUCACUUCCUGGCCUCUGGGAUUUCAUGGGGGCUUUUGUCCUUCUCCUUUGCAUUCUAUGUGCAGCUGCUCCAAGAGCUGGGACGAAUGUGGGGGUGAACUUCUGGUGGGCAGCCUUUUUCUGGCACCCACAAAGGACCAGUCCAGGGGAUCCUUUUCUCCUGCGGAGUCAGUGCCCACCCUAACACAUGGUCCCACUCUCCCUCCUCUUUUCUCUCCUUCCCUUCGUCCUCCUUCCCCUUCCCUUCCUCCUGUUCCUUUCCCUUCUCCUCUUCUUCCUCCUCUUUCUCCCCUUCCUCUCCCUCCUCCUGCUUCUCCUCCUUCUUUCCCUCUCCCUCCUCCCUUUUCUCUCUUCCCCCUACUCCUCCUCCAUUCCCUCUCUCUCCACUCCCUCCUCCUGCUUCCCCUCCUCUUCCCUCUCUCUCCCCCUCCUCCACCUCCUUCUCCUCCUCCUAAAUGCAGCUACAUUUGGACCCCUGCAACCCAGCAGGCUAAGAUGCUGGCAGCACCUCUGUCCUCUGUGGUCACAGGGGCUGGAUGUUACGCACCUUCCCAAUCUAUUGCCUUCCAAUACCAUGUCCUUCUGAUGUCACAGUAGCAGAGAUUCUCCACAGGAGAGAACCAUGGAAAAGCAACACUCCUGAGUCCUUUUGAAAAAAUCACCCAACAACAAAAUUCAGCCACUUAAAAGAGGAGUCCAGAUAAAGAACUAAUGGUGGAGAAACCACAGGAAAGGGGCAGGUUCUGAGCAUUGGAGCCGCACAAAUAUCAACCAGGACUAAGUUGGCCUAUGUGAAGUGCACUUUAGAGAUUAAGGAGCCACGAGGACUGCGUGCUACAUGGUAUCCUACACUGGAUCCUGGAAGAGGAAAAGAAAAUCCAAAAAAAAAAGAGGAAGCUGAGACUUAAGAGAAUGAAAUGACUUACCCCAGAUUACACAGCUACUGGGAAAGAGAAGAAACAGAGACAGAGAGAAGUUGGGCUGGAUUUGAAUCUAGACAGUCUCACAUGCAAGCUAUCAUUUAGCCAACAGUUGAUAUUCCUGUCAGGUAUUCUGUGGCCUUCAACUCCCUCCAAGAUUUCCUGACAACAUACAUCUGUAUUAUAAACAUUUUAAACCAAUAUAUAUUGAUUUGGCAUUGACAAUUGCACAUGUUUAUUCUCGGAGAUGACUAGAACGAGCUCAGGAUUGAGAACCACUGCUUUGGGCUUGAAAAGACCCUGCAGAUAAAGACAUCAAGAUGCUUUACCCUCGAGACCCCUUUGGAGGAGUCACUGUCUCCGUCGUAACUCUGCACAGUCCCUCCAGCAGCUGUUGGAUGACUUCCAUGCCCUGGAGUGUUAAAGGAGGAGAAUGGGGGCAGAAUUAGAAGAUACAGAAGGACAAGUCGAAGCAUCAUAAUUCUGAUUUUAAAAAAUCAGGACACCAUAGAAAUUCUAUUUCUGAAGAUUUAUACUCCACUUAAUGCCAUGAGGACUUUAGGUGGCUAAAAAAAAUCUGGUAAACUAAACAGGGUUAUUGGAUUGUGAAAUUGAAAGCCAUAAAAUUUAAAACAAUUUCAUAUGAAACUUCAACUUUUUUUUGAAUUUCAAAGUAAAAGAGGCAGUAUCAAGAAAAUUUGAAUCUCAAACGAAGAGGAGAGGAGCCAAAUUUCCCCUUUGCUGACAACUGAAAACCCAUCAUCAGUCCAGGGUGACUCAGGUUAAACACCUGCUCUGGGGCUGAUGCCUGAACUUGCCCCUGAUUCUUGCUGUAUCAGGUUUGAGACUAAAUCAGGCAACUCCUGUCUCCUAGAUUCCUCUCAGUGUCUGCAGGAGCCCUCUUUCUUUUUCUCCUAUGGAAAGGCCGUUAUAAUGUCUCGCCCACUUUCGCCUCUUUGUGAACAUGGCACCAGAACUUUGCACUUCACAUGGUCUAUAAGAUGUCAUCUUCUAAUUUUUCCCCUUUUGUGUUAAAUGUCUUUUUCCAGUUGAAAAGUAAGCUCUUUUAGUGUAAGGGCACUCUCUGAUGCCACCCUUGCUUGUUCCAUUCUCAAGUGAGCAGUAGCUUAGUGCAGUGACUAUGAUUUGAGUUUGAAUUCUGAACCUCUGUGACAUUGAACAGAUUCCUUAUCCAUUUCUUCUGUAAAAUAGGAUUAAAUAGGCAAAAAGUACUUAACCCAGUAUCCAGCAUAUAUUCAUUCCUCAAUAAACCUUACUUAGCAUUACCUUUUAUUGACUGGAAGAAAUGGCUUUAGGACUUCAUACACAGCUGAGGCACUCUAAUGGAUGAUUUCCUCAUUUUUGCCUCUCCAAGCUCCCAGUCCUCCCUUUUCAAGAUUAGAAGCUGAAUGCUUCUUCUAUCCCCUCCCACCCCCAUCACUACAGCUCCUCUCCAGCUGAUUCAAGUAUCUAUUACCAUCUCAUUGAGAUGCCACUUAGACAAGGCCUUCAAAUGUGGAGCUGCAGAAGGGGCUGGGUGUAGUCUGGGGGAAAGGACUGCCCAUUAACAUUCAAUCCAUAAUAGAGACCAUUAUCUUGGCAGCAAAAUACCCCAGCAGUAGUGAUGUGAGGAAAGGGGGGUGGGUUACCAAAGCAACAGGGAGACUGGAGCUGCACUGUUUCUAUGGCAACAGAGAGCAAGCACGAGCAUUCUUCUAGUUGGAAUGAUGAUUAUUUAGGCUCUCACCAACAGUAUCAGUGACUCAUCAGGUGGAUUGUGUUGCAAAGUGUGGAUUAGUAAAGGGUUUCUCUUCAAAUCCUGGCAAGAAGGAAGCCCACAAUAGAGAUCCUGACUCUUCAAGCUGGAGCCUGGACUCCUUUAUUAGGAAUGAAGGGUCUCUCUUUGGCUACUGGCCAAUUAAUUACCUCCCUAAUAUCAGCAAUUCUUAUUUAUGAUCUGCAAUCUCCACGAGUAGCCUGCUUGGACAAAACCCAUUUAUGGAAAUCCAAUUCAUAAGGUACAUAAAUUAAGUAGUAGAGAAGUGCCUACGCAAUUUUCCCUUUUCCCUCAAUUUUAAUUUUAUCAAAGAAACACACUCACAUCAUUAAAAAGUCAAUUAGUGCUUAAAAGCUUAUAACAAGAAACAUCAAUCCCCACACAUAUAACACCCCUCCCUCUCCCUGGUUCCUAGAGGCAACCACUUUCAGGAACUUUCGUUUUAUAUCUUCUAUUUACCUCCAUAUUUUCAAAUAUCUCCACAUUGCCUACAAUUUCCUAUUAAAGUGGGUAGAUAAAGCUCUUCACACCUUGCCUCUCUUAAACUCAACCUCCUAAUAUGAUUAUGCACCAUUUAGUCAUGCACCACUAAAUGACAGGGAUACAUUCUGAGAAAUGAGUUGUUAGGUGAUUUUGUCCCUGUGCAAACAUCACAGAGGGCACUUACAUAAACCCCUAUAGUAGAACCUACCACACACCUAGGCUGUAUGGUGUGGCCUAUGGCUCUGAGGCUACAAACAUGUAUAGUAUGCGACUAUACUGAAUACUGUGUAUAGGCAAUUGUAACACAAUGGUGUUUGUGUAUCUAAACAUAACCAACCAUAGAAAAGCUACAGUAAAAAUAUUGUAUAAAAGAUUAAAAAUGGUAUAGCUUGGUAGAAUAUGUAGUAUGAAUGGAGCUUACAGGACUGGAAGUUGCUCUGGAUGAGUCCGGGAGCUAGUAGUGAGUGAAUGGGAAGGUCUAGAACAUUACUGUACAAUACUGUAGACUUCAUAAACACUGUACACUUGGACUACACUAAAUUUAUAAAAACUAUUUCUCUUUCUUCAACAACAAAUUAACCUUGACUUGACUAUAACUUUUACACUUUAUAAACUUUUAAACCAUUUAAAACUUUUUGAGUCUUGCAAUAACACUUAGCUCAAGACAUAAACACAUCGUACAGCUGUACAAAAAAUUUUUUUUCUUUAUUUCCUUAUUCUAUAAUGUUUUUCCUAUUUAAAUAUUUUUUAACUUUUUGUUAAAAACUAAGACACAGACACACAUGCUAGCCUAGGCCUUCACAGGGUCAGAAUCAUCAAGACGUCACUAGGUUAUAGGAAUUUUUCAGCUCCAAUAUAACCUUAUGGGACCACUGUCAUGUAUGCAUGUGGCCCAUUGUUGAGCAAGAUGUCAUUAUGUGACACUUGACUGUGUAUCGUAACUUUUGAAUAAAUCCUAUUUAUGGAUUAUGAUGUUUUCAUCAUUAAGGACAUGGAAAUAUUGGCUCACUGCUGAACCAAUUAGGGAAACUCAGUAACAUGAUUUUACACAGGCUGGGGCUAGAGGCUUCCCCAUUCAAGAUGCAGACCUGCACCCAGUCCUCUGGGUCUGGUUUGGUACAUGGCCCUCCUCUGCACUUGGCGUCCGCAUAUCCGGAGGCUCUCUGUUCAGUUUCUCUGAAUAAUUCCCUCCCGCUUCUUGACAAUUAGAUCGGAAGACUCUGGCCCUUACCCAGACCCACGUCCCUCCCUUGCUUGCAGCCUGCAUUUCUGGCUCACCCUCAGCCAUUGCUGGGGCCAUGGGUUCCUGAGCCUUUAAUUGGGCAGUUGGUUUGACCUUUCCUGCCACUGCCCUCUUGUACAAGCGGGUUCUGAGUUACAGAUAUCUUCUGGUGUUGUCCAAAAUGGACUUGUGGUUCUCGUUCUCAUGCUCUUGUUGUUUGGGGGUGACUUCCAUAGAAGACGGCAGAAACUUCUUUGCCUUCAUAAACCUGGAAAGUUUUCUUGAAGAAGUUGGCUGCCUGGAAGGUAAUUUCCACUGGAGUGAUUUUUGCAAUGGAACUAAAUUAUAUAAAAAUACCUUCAUAAUUUUUAAAUUACAGUACCUUACUUUAAAUGUGUGACUAUAUAAACCUGUCCAGAGAAUGAUUUGGUUUGGAAAAAAUUGGAUGAAAUGUGGGUUUUUUUUUUAAAAAAAACUUUUUGUUCUAGUAUGUUAUAAAUCAAAGCUAGGCAAUUUCACCUUUUGACUGAGGAAGAUCACUUUUGAGACUCUAUUCUAAGAAAAAUAAUUCAAGACAAGCACUAAAUGAAAUUGAUCAUUGCUCUGUUAAAUAUGAUUGUGAAAAUGGAAAUGAUCUAAAUAUCUAAUGAGAAGAAAACUGAUACGUGAAUACAAUGGAAUGGUCUAUUCAACAUGGAAAAUAUGUCAUUGUACUAAGUGAAAGAAGCUGAAUGCAAAGUGGACUUUAUGCUCUGGUUACAAGUGUGUAAAACAGCCAUUUAAUAUUUGUGUUGCAAAUUCUCCAUCUGUAAAAUGGGAUAGUAAAUUAAUUACCUUAUAGAGUUAUCAUGAGAAUUAAAGGAAAGAAUGCCCCUAAAGUUUUCAGCUUGUGCCUGACACACAGUAAACGUACAAUAAAUGCUAGCUACUAUUACUACUGC